GUCCACGCCCUAAACGAUGUCAACUGGUUGUUGAGAGGGUUUCUUCUCAGUAACGUAGCUAACGCGUGAAGUUGACCGCCUGGGGAGUACGGCCGCAAGGUUGAAACUCAAAGGAAUUGACGGGACCCGCACAAGCGGUGGAUGAUGUGGUUUAAUUCGACGCAACGCGAAAACCUUACCUACCCUUGACAUGCCUGGAAUUCCGCAGAGAUGUGGGAGUGCUCGAAAGAGAACCAGGACACAGGUGCUGCAUGGCCGUCGU
rnacentral:rRNA from 1 species